rnacentral:rRNA from 1 species
UACGUAGGGUGCAAGCGUUGUCCGGAAUUAUUGGGCGUAAAGAGCUCGUAGGCGGUUUGUCGCGUCUGCUGUGAAAACGCGGGGCUCAACUCCGCGCCUGCAGUGGGUACGGGCAGACUAGAGUGCAGUAGGGGAGACUGGAAUUCCUGGUGUAGCGGUGGAAUGCGCAGAUAUCAGGAGGAACACCGGUGGGCGAAGGCGGGUCUCUGGGCAGUAAACUGACGUGGAGGAGCGAAAGCGUGGGGGAGCGAAACAGGA